rnacentral:ncRNA from 1 species
GUCAAGCAGUUAUACUCGGUAAAGCGAAUGAUUAGAGGACUUGGGGACGAAAUGUUCUUAACCUAUUCUCAAACUCUAAAUGGGUAUGAACCAGAGGAAACUCUGGUGGAAGUCCGAAGCGAUUCUGACGUGCAAAUCGAUCGUCUGACUUGGGUAUAGGGGCGAAAGACUAAUCGAACCAUCUAGUAGCUGGUUCCCUCCGAAGUUUCCAAGGUGCCAAAGUGCCCGCUCAUUAGACCCCAUAAAAGGUGUUGGUUGAUAUAGACAGCAGGACGGUGGCCAUGGAAGUCGGAAUCCGCUAAGGAGUGUGUAACAACUCACCUGCCGAAUCAACUAGCCCUGAAAAUGGAUGGCGCUGGAGCGGGCCACCUAUACUCUGCCGUCAUUGGCUUGUACGCCACUGCUGUGGACAGUCUGGCCAUGACGUGUAGGAGGGUCGUGGUGGUUGCGUUGAAGGCUUUGGGCGUGGGCCCGGCCGGAGCUUCCACCAGUGCAGAUCUUGGUGGUAGUAGCAAAUAUUCAAGUGAGAUCCUUGAAGACUGAAGUGGAGAAGGGUUCUGAGACUGCCAAGGCACACAGGGGAUAGGG